AUCUUGGUAGCUUAACACAAAGCAUUAGACUUGUAAACUAAAGACGGAGUUCUCCCCAAGAU
rnacentral:tRNA from 1 species